GGUUAAACGCAAAAGGGCGCAUGGUGGAUGCCUUGGCGUCUGGGGCCGAUGAAGGGCGUAGCAAGACUGCGAAAAGCCUCGGUUAGCCGUCUAGCAGGCAUAGCCGGGGGUGUCCGAAUGGGGGAACCCGCUUCGAGUAAUAUCGAAGCGCCCCGAGCAAUCGGGGCGGCAACCGGGGGAACUGAAACAUCUUAGUACCCCGAGGAAAAGAGAUUAUUCCCUGAGUAGUGGUGAGCGAAAGGGGAACAGCCCAAACCUGGGGAGAAGAAAACGGGCUUCGGGCCCUAAUGCUUUCCAGGGGUUGUAAGACGAGGGGGGGUCUCGCCCGAAGAGAGACCGUGGAGUUACAAAUUCUGUCUUUAGCCGAAGGUCCAUGGAAAGGGCCACCAUAGGGGGUGACAGUCCCGUAGGCGAAAAAGGCAGGACUCCUACCUUCGGACUUGAGUACCACGGGACACGGGAAAUCCUGUGGGAAGCUGGGGUGACCACGCCCCAAGGCUAAAUACCCUAGACGACCGAUAGUGAACUAGUACCGUGAGGGAAAGGUGAAAAGUACCCCGAGAGGGGAGUGAAAUAGACCUGAAACCGUGUGCCUACAAACAGUCAGAGCCUCGAUUUAUCGGGGUGAUGGCGUGCCUAUUGAAGAAUGAGCCGGGGAGUUACUCUUGGUGGCUCAGGUUAAGGGAUUUUCGUUCCGGAGCCGAAGCGAAAGCGAGUCUGAAUAGGGCGUACCCUGGGCAACUGGGGAGGUCGCCAGGAGUAGACCCGAAACCGGGUGAGCUACCCAUGGCCAGGGUGAAGCGAGGCUAAACCCUCGUGGAGGCCCGAACCUUUCUACGUGGCAAAGUGGUAGGAUGAGCUGUGGGUAGGGGUGAAAUGCCAAUCGAACCCGGAGAUAGCUGGUUCUCUCCGAAAUGUAUUUAGGUACAGCGUUAAAUUAGUCUUAGGGAGGUAGAGCACUGGAUGGAUAAGGGGGCGUAAGCCUACCAAGUUCAACCAAACUCCGAAUGCCGGUGAGUGUAGUGCGGGAGUCAGACUGCGGGUGAUAAGAUUCGUAGUCGAGAGGGAAAGAGCCCAGACUGCCAGCUAAGGUCCCGGAGAGCGUGCUAAGUGGAAAAGGAUGUGGGAAUUCACUACACAACCAGGAGGUUGGCUUAGAAGCAGCCACCCUUUAAAGAAAGCGUAAUAGCUCACUGGUCAAGUCGGCCCGCGCGGAAGAUAUAACGGGGCUUAAGCUGUACACCGAAACUGCGGAUGCAUGCUUGCAUGCAUGGUAGGUGAGCGUUCCGUACGCCUGUGAAGGUGUGCCGUAAGGCAUGCUGGAGGUAUCGGAAGUGCGAAUGCUGACAUGAGUAGCGAUAAAGGGGGUGAAAAACCCCCUCGCCGAAAGCCCAAGGUUUCCUGCGCAAUGCUAAUCAGCGCAGGGUGAGUCGGCCCCUAAGGCGAGGCCGAAAGGCGUAGUCGAUGGGAAGCAGGUUAAUAUUCCUGCACCAGUCAUGACUGCGAUGGGGUGACGGAGAAGGCUAAAUCAUCCGGGUGUUGGAUAUCCCGGUUUAAGCGUGUAGGAAGUGUUCUUAGGAAAAUCCGGGAACACAAUUCUGAGGCGUGAUGACGAGGACCCAUUUGGGACCGAAGUGGUUGAUGCCAUGCUUCCAGGAAAAACCUCUAAGCAUCAGGUCAUGAGUGACCGUACCCUAAACCGACACAGGUGGGCAGGGCGAGUAGCCCAAGGCGCUUGAGAGAACUCGGGUGAAGGAACUCGGCAAAAUGGCACCGUAACUUCGGGAGAAGGUGUACCCCUUGUAUGUGAAGGUCUUUACGACUGGAGCAGAAGGGGGUUGCAAUAAAGAGGUGGCUGCGACUGUUUAAUAAAAACAUAGCACUCUGCAAACUCGAAAGAGGACGUAUAGGGUGUGACGCCUGCCCGGUGCCGGAAGGUUAAUUGAUGGGGUUAGCUGCUUGCAGCGAAGCUCUUGAUCGAAGCCCCGGUGAACGGCGGCCGUAACGAUAACGGUCCUAAGGUAGCGAAAUUCCGUGUCGGGUAAGUUCCGACCUGCACGAAUGGCGUACCGAUGGCCACACUGUCUCCACCCGGGACUCAGCGAAAUUGAACUCGCUGUGAAGAUGCAGCGUACCCACGGCUAGACGGAAAGACCCCGUGCACCUUUACUACAGCUUCACACUGGACUUUGAAUAUGUUUGUGUAGGAUAGGUGGGAGGCUUUGAAGCCAGAACGCUAGUUUUGGUGGAGCCAAUCUUGAAAUACCACCCUAAUAUGUUUGAGGCCCUAACCGAGGUCCGUUAUCCGGAUCCGGAACCGUGUGUGGUGGGUAGUUUGACUGGGGCGGUCUCCUCCCAAAGAGUAACGGAGGAGCGCGAAGGUGUUCUAAGCGCGGUCGGAAAUCGCGCGGUUAGUGCAAAGGCAUAAGAACGCUUGACUGCGAGACAGACACGUCGAGCAGGAACGAAAGUUGGUCUUAGUGAUCCGGUGGUUCUGUAUGGAAGGGCCAUCGCUCAACGGAUAAAAGGUACGCCGGGGAUAACAGGCUGAUACCCCCCAAGAGUUCACAUCGACGGGGGUGUUUGGCACCUCGAUGUCGGCUCAUCUCAUCCUGGGGCUGUAGCCGGUCCCAAGGGUAUGGCUGUUCGCCAUUUAAAGAGGUACGCGAGCUGGGUUUAGAACGUCGUGAGACAGUUUGGUCCCUAUCUGCCGUGGGCGCCGGAGACUUGAGAGGAGCUGCUCCUAGUACGAGAGGACCGGAGUGGACGUACCUCUGGUGUUCCAGUUGUCACGCCAGUGGCAUUGCUGGGUAGCUAUGUACGGAAGGGAUAACCGCUGAAAGCAUCUAAGCGGGAAGCCUCCCUCAAGAUUAGGUCUCCCUGGACCCUCGUGGUCCCUGAAGGUUCGUUGUAGAGUACAACGUUGAUAGGCGGGGUGUGGAAGCACAGCAAUGUGUGAAGCUAACCCGUACUAAUAAACCGUGAGGCUUGACUAU
rnacentral:rRNA from 1 species